GACGAACGCUGGCGGCGUGCCUAAUACAUGCAAGUUGAGCGAUGAAGCUUGGUGCUUGCACCAAUUUGAAGAGCAGCGAACGGGUGAGUAACGCGUGGGGAAUCUGCCUUUGAGCGGGGGACAACAUUUGGAAACGAAUGCUAAUACCGCAUAACAACUUUAAACAUAAGUUUUAAGUUUGAAAGAUGCAAUUGCAUCACUCAAAGAUGAUCCCGCGUUGUAUUAGCUAGUUGGUGAGGUAAAGGCUCACCAAGGCGAUGAUACAUAGCCGACCUGAGAGGGUGAUCGGCCCAAUUGGGGCUGAGACACGGCCCAAACUCCUACGGGAGGCAGCAGUAGGGAAUCUUCGGCAAUGGACGAAAGUCUGACCGAGCAACGCCGCGUGAGUGAAGAAGGUUUUCGGAUCGUAAAACUCUGUUGGUAGAGAAGAACGUUGGUGAGAGUGGAAAGCUCAUCAAGUGACGGUAACUACCCAGAAAGGGACGGCUAACUACGUG
rnacentral:rRNA from 1 species